UACGGGGGGGGCAAGCGUUGUUCGGAAUCACUGGGCGUAAAGGGCGCGUAGGCGGCCUGAUAAGUAGGGGGUGAAAUCCUGCGGCUCAACCGCAGGGCUGCCUUCUAAACUGUCAGGCUGGAGCACGGUAGAGGCAGAUGGAAUUCCCGGUGUAGCGGUGGAAUGCGUAGAGAUCGGGAAGAACACCAGUGGCGAAGGCGGUCUGCUGGGCCGUUGCUGACGCUGAGGCGCGACAGCGUGGGGAGCAAACAGG
rnacentral:rRNA from 1 species